rnacentral:piRNA from 1 species
UGACAGGUUCUGACUAGCCCAGGCUUA